UUAUUAUUUUUAUUUAUUUUUUUUUUUGUGAAAUUGUGGAAAAUACAUAUAUAUAUAUAUAUAUUGCGAUUUUUGAUGGCUCAGGACCAUUUCGAAGCUCGAACACAUUGAAGACGUUGGAGUUAUAAAUCAGCAUACUACCAUACAUAGAUCGGCAUCGAUGCACCACUGACAAGUUACUACACAAACCACAUUUGUUGUGUUCUUAAUGGUUGACAAUAAGUGACACAGGUCUUUACCACAAUCCUUGACUAGAUUGAAAAUGAGAGGGGUCUUUCGCGACGACAAACACUUUUCCGCCAUUCAGUGUUGAACAAUAACUCGAUACUGUUGUUUAAUGGUUUUUGGAUUCCCAUUCAGCGUUGAAUCCAGUGCAGAAGAAAUGCCAAAAAAAAAAAAAAAAAAUAAAAUCAAA
rnacentral:sRNA from 1 species